UCCCAUUAAACCAUAAAUCAUUCAAUUUCCACACAUUUAAUUCCCAUUUUUCAUACAAAAUUCCAAUCAAUUACAAUUCAUCAUUCAUCUUACUAGUUAUUAAGACCAAUUUUGUUUACCAUUCGUUUACAAUCAAGUUCAAAUUCUAAUCCAUAUUUUGAAAUUUUCGGUUACAAUACAUUACCAUUCACAAACUACAAGGGAAAACCUAUAGUACUAUACUAUUCCAUCCAAUUACAUUUCAACAACCAAAUGCCACGAUCUUCUCUCCGUCAAUGAGCAUUGCUAUAACGCAUCCCAUUAAUCCAAUGCGCAACCCAAGUCAGGCUUCAUUAAGCAAACAUUAACCUGCACCGGAAUAAACAAUUACCAACUGAAUCAACCAUAAGUCCAAAUUCAUAUAUAGAAAAUAGAAAAAAAGAAAGAAGGAUAGAUGAACAAAUGAUAGAGGCGAGAAUCUACAUGAAAAGAAACUACCCUGCAAUAGCUGCUACACACGCUCCAAUCACGGAAGUUUCCGCCAAGAAACCAAUUUCCGACAUUGUCAUCACUGCUAUGCAGACGGAGGCUCAACCUGUUGUCAUUAAAUUUCAACUCACCGAACAUUGAUACUGUAAGGAAAAAUCAAGGGCGAGUGGAAAUAGUGUAUUGUCGGUAGCUAAUAAUGCAUCUCACCCGGAAAAGAGUUUGCAGGGGCAGAACUUCACGAUUCCAGUUCAGCCAUGAACUUCUCUUUCAAGCCAUGAGUAACACCCGAUAUUGUUGGCAGCAACAGACUUCAGGUGAGGAGUUGAGGUGGUGUUAUCCGAGACCUUCCUGCAGUAUCAGUUUGCCUUACUUAAUAGAAUAAAUUCCCAACAGGAUUUCACAAGAGAAAGCUCACAGAAUUUACUAAGCAGAAUAGAACAGAAAAUGAAAUACCAAAAUAGCUGACAUAAUGCAAUCUUUCACACUAACUGAUCUCAGCUAAUCAGUUUAUUUUUCACCAAGUAAAUUCAUUUCACAAACAUUAAUUUCAUCUUAAUUUGAAUUUCUAACAGAAUAUAACAUCUAACUAACUGUGCAUUUAAAUCUGAAUUUCAAUUUAAUUUCUAACAAACUGAAAUUACAUUUGAUAUGAGUUUCAUUUGGAAUUUCCAACCAACUUGAUAAAAUCUCUAACUGAAUAUGAAUUACAAAGAAUUUCACCUGAAUUUGUGAAGAAAUUUCUAACAGAUUCUGUUAUAAAAACUGACCUCAUUGUGACUCCAAGGGCUUCACUCCAAUCUGCUUCACUCCAUUCUUCUUCACUCUAACCUUCUUCUGCCAACACCUUCUUCUACCAAUCUUCAAAUUCUUCACACUCCAAUCUUCUUCACUCUAUUUCAUCUGCUUCAUUCUGCAAAUUCUUGACCUUGUUACAUUUGCCGUGAAUUUUAGCUGGUGCCGGUUCAGGGUAUAGUUGUUUGGGCCUACGACCCAAAUGAUUUUUU
rnacentral:lncRNA from 1 species